rnacentral:rRNA from 1 species
GACAGAGGUGCCGAGCGUUAGGCGGAAUCACUGGGCUUAAAGCGUGUGUAGGCGGAUUUGUAAGUACCUUGUGAAAUCCCACGGCUCAACCGUGGAACUGCUCGGUAUACUGCUUAUCUUGAGCCACUUAGGGGCAGUCGGAACAGACGGUGGAGCGGUGAAAUGCGUAGAUAUCGUCUGGAACGCCAAAGGUGAAAACAGACAGCUGGGAGUGUGCUGACGCUGAGACACGAAAGCCAGGGGAGCGAACGGG